GACGAACGCUGGCGGCGUGCUUAACACAUGCAAGUCGAACGGUGAAGCGAGUGCUUGCACUCGUGGAUCAGUGGCGAACGGGUGAGUAACACGUGAGUAACCUGCCCAUCACUCUGGGAUAAGCACUGGAAACGGUGUCUAAUACUGGAUACGACCAACCCUUGCAUGGGGUGUUGGUGGAAAGAUUUAUCGGUGAUGGAUGGACUCGCGGCCUAUCAGCUUGUUGGCGGGGUAAUGGCCCACCAAGGCGACGACGGGUAGCCGGCCUGAGAGGGUGACCGGCCACACUGGGACUGAGACACGGCCCAGACUCCUACGGGAGGCAGCAGUGGGGGAUAUUGCACAAUGGGCGAAAGCCUGAUGCAGCGACGCCGCGUGAGGGAUGACGGCCUUCGGGUUGUAAACCUCUUUCAGCAGGGAAGAAGCGAAAGUGACGGUACCUGCAGAAGAAGCACCGGCUAACUACGUG
rnacentral:rRNA from 1 species